ensembl:lncRNA
AUUGAUUCUGCAGUGCGCAGCAUUACGAUAAGAAGAAAAAAAGAAAAAUAACAACAGGCGAGUUUGGAGCGACAUGAGAGUGAGUAAAUCGCUUUCAUUUGGUGAUAUCCAAAUGUGUGCUGCCAUUUGGUGAGUGAGGUGGUCACCCUACCCCACCCUGACCCUCUCCUCUCCUCUCUGAAGGCCUGUCAGUCAGAGGAAGAUCUCAGGUGCGCGCUGGUGUCGCCAUAUCCCACAGAGGGAUUUGUUUAGACUUCAGUCUUCAAGUAAACCUGACCUGUAUGAGUGAGCGAGCGAGAUGCUGACCGCAGGGGAAAAUUCGCACACUUAUCUCGUAUGUCUCUGCUACCAGGAACUGGAGCGUUUGGAAACCAGCAUUUCAUCUGAUAACCUUUAUUGCUGAAAUAAACAUAAUGAAAGUGUCCGUAGGUGCUGCAUGCGUCUUCCUAAACGUGAGCAUAUUUUGAACCGGUUUGUUCAUAAUCUGUCUUGAAUUUGUAUACUUUCUCACUGGUGUUCCAGCUUUAUUUCCUGUGUGUGUCUUCCAGGUUCAAGAAUUAGGCCGGGAAAUAAUGAAGGUAGAUAAUAGCUGACCUUCUGUUAACUUGGCUGAUAAUUGCGAUGCGGAGGCUGGAAUUCUGCAGCUCUGGGUUCUCGCGCUGAUGAGAUGAACAAAUAAAAAGCAGCAUUUACAGGCAUGAAAUGAGCUAAUUCUGCGCCUGCACACAUUUCCACAUCUCGUAUUAGACUGUCGGGGUUUACUAGAUUAAAACUGCAGCUUAAUUAAUGUACAAACACAAGAUCAGAUUUAAUUAACAUCUGAUUUAAUUGCUUGCCUACAAUUGCUUUUCACACUGUAUGCUCCAAUAGAAAAUGAUUGCAAAAUGUAAUAAUUAUACAGACAAAUAUAAUGAGAAUGCAUUCAAAUGGUUUGAUGUAAAUCCAAGACUGAUCACUUUUGCUGAGAGAAGAAAAAAUAUCACAUUUCCACAGUUUUAUUAAUUAAUUUUGAUUUUGGGGAAAUAAUUUGAUUAAAUACCUCUGAUUAUGUGGUAUUAUAGAAACAAUAAGAUGGUUUUCAUGCAACAUCCCAAUUGAUUCAAAGAGAUUUUUGGAGCAUCAUCAUUUUUUGGUCCUUAAAGUGUAUUUUCGGUUUCGUUUCAUAAUAUAUAUU